GCCCACGCCCACUCCCAGCGCUGUCGCUUCUCUUCCUCUUGCCCAACGCUCACACUAUCUUCCUCGCGCCCAGCGCUCGAUCUGGGCUGCCUCCAACUGCCUAGGGUAUAACUGAAUAUCUUCAGAAACCUCCCAGGCAAGUAUGAAUUCUCCAUUAAGCACUCGCCUUAAGGAGAAUCGAAGAUACGACUCUUCAGGUUUCUGGGUGGACCUUGCUGAAGUUAUGAAUUCUUUAAUUCUUUAUGAGUGGAUCUUACUGAAGUUAUGAAUUCUCCAAUUCUUUCUGGGUGGGUCUUGCCUUACGAAGAAUCGCAUACUCUCACCUUAGUGAAGGCAAGUACCUCUUCAAUUCUUUGGAAGGCAACAAGAAUCGAAGGCAAGACCCUUUCUCUCUCGACUUCAACUUUGAUUCAAUUCUUCUGAAGUAAAGUAUGAGUUCUCCUUCCUGUCACUUUAUUUAUCAUUCAUCUUUUCAUAUGUAUUAUAUAUGGAGGUUGGCCUUCCUCAAUAAUAUGGUGGGUCGUUAAUGGCACUGGACUCGCAGUUGAUGAUCUACUAGGUGAAUAGUUGUGCAUCAAUGUGAACUGCAGGAGAUUCCCACCCCAUGGCGUCAAAUGUUUGACCCACCGGAGAAACACUGCUGUAAAAAACAAGAUUCGUUGGUGUAUGUGGGUUAUUCCUUUGGAUGAUGUUCCGGAUGCUAUCCUUCACCAAAUUAGGGAGAUUAGAUUGUGCAUGAUGGUUAUGAAAUAAAAUGAUGACAACAAUGACCAUAGAGGAGGUUGGAAUUGUGCUUGUGGGACAAGAAGGUCGAGCUGAAGGACCCAAUUGUUUUGGAUAUUCUUGAUAUGCAAUCAGGUGACUUUAAUAAAUCGAUGCCGACUGUGCUUCUGGCAAUUUAUUGGUUGGGAUGAAAUAUUCAGUCUCAGAGUGUAUACCUUUCGAAUGAAGUUUUUAUAAUUUUCUGCAA